UUGUGAAAAGAGCCGGGAUUGUGACAUCAUGCUCACAACCACUGUAAUAGCUGCUAUUUGUGGGAUGGCACAGUGUGGUGGCCCUGAGCCUAAGCUGGCUGGAAUAUUCACCAUGGCCCUGCAAAGCAGGCCCUGUCUUCUUCAUUUGGCAGAGAAGGGGAAGGGUAGGGUUGUCAAGGUUACGGGAGCCAUCUAAGUCACCACAACUGAUAAGAGGAGACAGAGCAUAGAGGAGACAGGACUUCUCAAAAUGCAAUACGUGUGAGAGUCAGGGGGGAUGAGCAUGCAGUGGAAGAUGAAAAUUCCUGGGUUUUACAGGAAGAGUGUCUGACUCUGCAGGGCCCCAGUGGGACCAGGAAUCCGCACUUUUCGCAACCGCUCUGGGUGAUGCUGCCAGAGAAGGUUGCUCUGGGUUCUCCCUAAACCUGCUUGGCUGGAGAAGUGUUUGGUUCUGAGAGACCUCCCCAAAAUUAAGAUCCAGAAGCUGUCAGCAAAAGGGACCCCAGAGAUAACUGAAUAGAUUCACAUCGCAAAUAAAAACUGGAGUCCCAAGAUCCUACAACGAGUGAGAGGCAAAAAUGAACCUGAAACUCAGAUGUGCAUUCGCCUGGUUCAAAACUGGACCCGUUACACUGCAAUGGUGCUGAGCAGGUGCCAAUUGCCCCAUCCUGCGGAUGUCCAGAAUGCUUCCUUUUAUGCCAUCCCCCAGAUACUCAAGGGAGGGAGGGAAAAGAAUGGGCUGGGAGCUACCCUGGGGUGGGGAAGGGGAAGCGGCCAAUGCAUUCCAUUCCCACAGCAUUCAGUGUGCAGUUGCAGUUGCCAACCACCCCUGGAAAUGCAGACUUGCCUCACCAGCCCCUUGGAAAACAUGCCAGGUCGCAGGCAGCCCCUUGAGGCCAGGUCUCUAGUAAAGCUUGCCUCUGGAUGGCUGCAGAUGGAAAGGACUUGGUUCUUAGCACCAAGGAAGAAUCUCUCUCAAUUGAUUAUUUACUUAUCAAGGCAAUGAAGAUCCAAGCAGACAUGGACUCAUGCAGGGCUUGUGCCAGCCUGCAGCCUCCAGCUUUCUCCAGGAACCAGACCUCUCUCAUCCCGCUUCUGGAACAGCACUGCUACAGAUGCAAUAAACAUUUAUGGUGCAUCUACUAUGUGCCAGACACUCGCAGCA